rnacentral:rRNA from 1 species
UGGGGAAUAUUGCACAAUGGGCGCAAGCCUGAUGCAGCCAUGCCGCGUGUGUGAAGAAGGCCUUCGGGUUGUAAAGCACUUUCAGCGAGGAGGAAGGUGGUGAGCUUAAUACGCUCAUCAAUUGACGUUACUCGCAGAAGAAGCACCGGCUAACUCCGUGCCAGCAGCCGCGGUAAUACGGAGGGUGCAAGCGUUAAUCGGAAUUACUGGGCGUAAAGCGCACGCAGGCGGUUUGUUAAGUCAGAUGUGAAAUCCCCGGGCUCAACCUGGGAACUGCAUUUGAAACUGGCAAGCUAGAGUCUCGUAGAGGGGGGUAGAAUUCCAGGUGUAGCGGUGAAAUGCGUAGAGAUCUGGAGGAAUACCGGUGGCGAAGGCGGCCCCCCUGGACGAAGACUGACGCUCAGGUGCGAAAAGGCGUGGGGAGCAAACAGGAUUAGAUACCAUGGUAGUCCACGCUGUAAAACGAUGUCGAUUUUGGAGGUUGUGCCCCUGAGGCGUGGUUCCGAGCUAACGNGUUAAAUCGACCGCCNGGGGAGUACGGCCNCAAGGUUAAAACUAAAUGAAUUGC